GCCAGGCACAGUGGUGCAUGCCUGUAAUCCCAGUGACUAGGGAGGCUGAGGCAGGAGGAAUACAAGUUUGAGGUCAGCCUGGGCAACUUAGUGAGACUCUGUCUCAA
rnacentral:sRNA from 1 species